AGAAAUAGCAAAUAAAUACAUGAAAAAAGGUUCCACAUCAUUGGUCAUUCGAGAGAUACAAAUGAAAACAGCUCUGAGAUUCCACUUCACUCCAGAAAGAAUGGCUGCUAUCAUGAAAUCAACCAAUAACAAAUGAUGGCAGGGCUGUAGGGAAAGAGCAACCCUGCUCCACUGCUGGUGGGAGUGUAGACUGGUGCAACUACUGUAGAAAUCAGUAUGGAGAUACCUCAAAGAACUAGGACUGAAGUCCCAUUUGACCCCGCUAUUCCAUUGCUGGGGAUCUUCCCCAAAGAAUUAAAAGAAUCAUACCACAGUGAUAUAUGUGCACCCAUGUUCAUAGCAGCACAGUUCAGUUUUUAAAAUGAAAGUAUAAAUAAGGACUAAAUGUAUAAUAGGUUAUGUGAAAUAGGAAGAAAAGGGGCAAAGGGGAAGGAAGUGGGAGGGCUAGGGGAAAGGAUAGAAGGGAAUGGGAUUAAUAUGAGAAAAUGGAAAAAUAGGAACAAAAUCUUUGUAAAUAGGGAGGAAUGGAGGGGUUGAAGGGAGGGCUGGGCAAGGGUGAAAAAUAAGAACCAAGAGAGAUUAUGUAAAGGUGCAAAUUUCCAAUGAUGAAUGUCAUUAUAUUGUAUACCUAAAAUGUACCAAUGAUUAGAAUGAAUAAUUGAUAGUGUAAAAUAGGAAGAAAAGGUCCAAAGGGGUAGGGGUAGUGGGAGGGGCAGGGGAAAGGAAAGAAGGGAAAGGAAAAAUGCUGAGAAAUGGAAAAAAUGGAAAUAAAGUCUUUGUAAAUAGGGAAGGGUGGAGGGGGUGAAGGGAGGGCUAGGAAAGGGGAAAAAAUAAGAACCAAGAUGCAUUAUGUAAAGGUACAAAUUCCCAAUGAGAAAUGUAAAUGUGUUGUAUACCUACAAUGGACCAAUAAAAGAGUUUAAGAAAAAAAAAAAAAAAGAAGACAAACUCAACUAAGAAAAAAAAAAACUCACUUGCAACAGAAUGAGAACAUCUGCAUUCCAAUCUGACUUCUGCCAAUCUCUGGAAAUGGGAUCUCAUUCAGUUAUCUCACCUCUCUGAAUGUCAGUUUCUUCAUUUAUAAACCAAAAGAUAAUAUCCGCAUAGUAGAGUGCUUAUAAAGAGUAAAGAAACAAGUCAGAGAAUGCAAUCUAUAAACUGUGACUCACUAGCUGUGUAAGAAUGAUUGCCUGUCCUCCUUACAGCAGGAGCACAGAGCUUAUACGGAAAGCAGGUAACCAUGAGGGAACUUCAUUGGAUCCAUGCUACACUUUUUCUACUAAAGAAAAGUCUCAGUGAGCAUUCCA
rnacentral:lncRNA from 1 species